CACGUAAGAAGGUGUCGGCUUUAUUUUGUCUGGAUUGUGCUUCUAGAAAUGGGGGCUCUCUAGAACUUAAUCAAAGAGUCAAAGACCCGUAGAGAAAGCAACUUGCUUUAUAAAUUAUAAUUACGCCUUGUUUCUGCUAAUAAUCAAAUCACCACACCACUACAGCGACACAAACUCAUCAAUAUAUUGAAGCUCAAUCACUCACACAAAAAACCCAAAUCGAAUUUUAAUUUCUAUGGGUUUGUUUCGGACAAGAAGGAACUUGUAUUUACUUUUGCUUGUAGCAUGUAUAGCAAUUCAAGAAACCAGCAGAGGUGAAACUCGGACAAUUCCCUUCCGACAGCAACUAGGCAAAAACAGAACAUUUGCAACACUAGGACUGGUAUGCAAGUGCUGUAAUGGUGGAGAAGAAUCGUGUACAGUUUCAUGGAAAGGAUCCUGCUCCAAACUUCAGUGUCUGCCUUGGAAAUUUCAAUAACAUUUGGAUAUAUAUGUAUAGUUUUUAUUCAAAGGGAUCUACAAAUUUUGUAUUGAAAUGAUGAGUGUGUGUAUAUAUAUGUAUAUAGGUUUAUGUGCUGA